rnacentral:rRNA from 1 species
UCCUUAGAUGUUCUGGGCCGCACACGCGCUACACUGAAGGAGGCAGCGUGUACUCCUGGAUCGAAAGAUUUGGGUAACCCGCGAAUCUCCUUCGUGCUAGGGAUUGAGGUUUGCAAUUAUCCUUCAUGAACGAGGAAUUCCCAGUAAGUGCAAGUCAUAAGCUUGCGCUGACUACGUCCCUGCCCUUUGUACACACCGCCCGUCGCUACUACCGAUUGAAUGAUUUAGUGAGGACUUCGGACUGGGACCGAUGCGGCUUUCGGGCUGCGUCGGUAUUCUGGAAAGAUGUCCAAACUGUAUCAUUUAGAGGAAGUAAAANUCGUANCA